rnacentral:rRNA from 1 species
CCUACGGGAGGCAGCAGUGGGGAAUAUUGGGCAAUGGGCGCAAGCCUGACCCAGCAAUGCCGCGUGAAGGAAGAAGGCUUUCGGGUUGUAAACUUCUUUGACAGGGGAAGAGCAGAAGACGGUACCCUGAAAACAAGCCACGGCUAACUACGUGCCAGCAGCCGCGGUAAUACGUAGGUGGCAAGCGUUGUCCGGAUUUACUGGGUGUAAAGGGCGUGUAGCCGGGAAGGCAAGUCAGAUGUGAAAUCUGGAGGCUCAACCUCCAAAUUGCAUUUGAAACUGUUUAGCUAGAGUACUGGAGAGGCAGACAGAAUGCCAUGUGUAGCGGUGAAAUGCGUAGAGAUGAGGAGGAACACCAGUGGCGAAGGCGGUCUGCUGGACAGCGACUGACGGUGAGGCGCGAAAGCGUGGGGAGCAAACAGGAUUAGAUACCCCGGUAGUC